UAAAUCAGUUAUGGUUCACUAGAUCGUACAGUUUACACGGAUAACUGUGGUAAUUCUAGAGCUAAUACGUGCAACCAGCUUGCUCUUUCGGGAGCAAGCGCAGUUAUUAGAUCAAAACCAAUCCGGCCUUCGGGUCGGUUAAAUUGGUGACUCUGAAUAACCGAAGAGGAGCGCAUAGUCUCGUACUGGCGCCAGAUCUUUCAAGUGUCUGACUUAUCAGCUUGUUGUUAGGUUAUGUUCCUAACAAGGCUCUUACGGGUAACGGGGGAUUAGGGUUCGAUCCCGGAGAGAGAGCCUGAGAAACGGCUAUCAUAUCUAAGGAAAGCAGCAGGCGCGUAAAUUAUCCAAUCCCAGAUCGGGGAGGUAGUGACGAAAAAUAACGAUGCGAGAGCUCUAAGCUCCUCGUAAUCGGAAUGGGUACACUUUAAAUCCUUUAACGAGGAUCAAUUGGAGGGCAAGUCUGGUGCCAGCAGCCGCGGUAAUUCCAGCUCCAAUAGCGUAUAUUAAAGUUGCUGCGGUUAAAAAGCCCGUAGCUGAAUCUGGGCAGUUGGACGGAUGGUAUGCCUUGCGGUAUUACUGUCUGUUCGGCGCCACAAGCCGGCCAUGUCUUGUAUGCUCUUCAUUGCGUGUACUUGGCGACCGGAACGUUUACUUUGAAAAAAUUAGAGUGCUCAAAGCAGGCGUACGGCCUUGCAUAAUGGUGCAUGGAAUAAUGAAAUAAGACUCCGGUUCUAUUUUGUUGGUUUUCGGAACUCGAAGUAAUGAUUAAUAGGAACAGACGGGGGCAUU
rnacentral:rRNA from 1 species